rnacentral:rRNA from 1 species
AUUGAACGCUGGCGGCAUGCCUUACACAUGCAAGUCGAACGGUAACAGGUUAAGCUGACGAGUGGCGAACGGGUGAGUAAUGUAUCGGAACGUGCCCAGUCGUGGGGGAUAACUGCUCGAAAGAGCAGCUAAUACCGCAUACGACCUGAGGGUGAAAGCGGGGGAUCGCAAGACCUCGCGCGAUUGGAGCGGCCGAUAUCAGAUUAGGUAGUUGGUGAGGUAAAGGCUCACCAAGCCGACGACCUGUAGCUGGUCUGAGAGGACGACCAGCCACACUGGGACUGAGACACGGCCCAGACUCCUACGGGAGGCAGCAGUGGGGAAUUUUGGACAAUGGGCGCAAGCCUGAUCCAGCCAUGCCGCGUGCGGGAAGAAGGCCUUCGGGUUGUAAACCGCUUUUGUCAGGGAAGAAAAGGUUCUGGCUAAUACCUGGGACUCAUGACGGUACCUGAAGAAUAAGCACCGGCUAACUACGUG